AUCACUUGUUGGAUUUUGGCUAAGAUUAAGUGUAGAAUCUGUUCUUAUAAGUUUAACAUUGCUACAUCCUCUAUCCAAGGAUAAUAUAUUAAAUGGAUUUUUGGAGCAGGGAAAUGGAAUAGGCGCUUGCUCCAUUCACCUGACACAUAGACCUGCAUUACAGUACCUCCAGGAAAGGUUAAAAAAAA